UGAGUACGAGAUGCUACGGCAUCGAAGCAGUCUAUGUCAUACUUCCAAGAAAAGCUUGCACUGUCAUAAACAAAGAAUGCCUGUACCAUAACCGACACAGGUGGGUAGGUAGAGUAUACUAAGGGGCGCGAGAUAACUCUCUCUAAGGAACUCGGCAAAAUGACUCCGUAACUUCGGGAGAAGGAGUGCCUUAUUUCUAAGGUUGCAAUAACAAGAUCCAAGCAACUGUUUACCAAAAACACAGGUCUCCGCUAAGUCGUAAGACGAUGUAUGGGGGCUGACGCCUGCCCAGUGCCAGAAGGUUAAAGAAGUUGGUUAGCAUUAGCGAAGCUGAUAACUGAAGCCCUGGUGAACGGCGGCCGUAACAAUAACGGUCCUAAGGUAGCGAAAUUCCUUGUCGGGUAAUUUCCGACCCGCACGAAAGGCGUAAUGAUUUGGAUACUGUCUCGGAGAGGGGCUCGGUGAAAUAGACUUGUCUGUGAAGAUGCGGACUACCUGCACCUGGACAGAAAGACCCUAUGAAGCUUUACUGUAACUUGAGAUUGAAAUUGGACUUUAUUUGCGCAGUAUAGGUGGGAGGCGUUGAGAAUAAUCUUGCGGGAUUGUUGGAGCCAUCAGUGAGAUACCACUCUUGUAAUGUUAGAUUUCUAACUUUGUAUCAUUAUCUGGUCAAAGAACAGUUUCAGGCGGGCAGUUUGACUGGGGCGGUCGCCUCCCAAAGGGUAACGGAGGCGCACAAAGGUUUCCUCUGAACGGGUAGAAAUCGUAUCUAGAGUGUAAAGGCAUAAGGAAGCUUGACUGUGAGACCUACAAGUCGAGCAGGGACGAAAGUCGGUCUUAGUGAUCUGACGGUGCUGAGUGGAAAGGCCGUCACUCAACGGAUAAAAGUUACUCUAAGGAUAACAGGCUGAUCUCCCCCAAGAGUUCACAUCGACGGGGAGGUUUGGCACCUCGAUGUCGGCUCAUCGCAUCCUGGGGCGGUAGUCCGUCCCAAGGGUUGGGCUGUUCGCCCAUGAAAGCGGUACGCGAGCUGGGUUCAGAACGUCGUGAGACAGUUCGGUCCAUAUCCGGUGUAGGCGUUAGAAUAUUGAGAGGAGCCUUCUCUAGUACGAGAGGACCGAGAAGGACAUACCUCUGGUGUACCAGUUAUCGUGCCAACGGUAAACGCUGGGUAGCUAUGUAUGGAGUGGAUAACCGCUGAAAGCAUCUAAGUGGGAAGCCCACCUCAAGAUAAGUAUUCUCAC
rnacentral:rRNA from 1 species